AAUAGUUGACAAGGGAGGCAACCCUGAUCCAGCAAUCGCGCGAGUGUGAAGAAGUUCUUCUGAUUGUAAAUAACUUUAAGUUGGUAGGAAGGGCUUUAGGCUAAUACCCUGAAGUUUUGUCGUUACCAUCAGAGUAAGCACCGCCUAACUCUGUGCCAGCAGCCGCGGUAAUACAGAGGGUGCAAGCGUUAAUCGGUAUUACUGGGCGUAAAGCGCGCGUAGGUGGUUCAGUAAGAUGGGUGUGAAAUCCCCGGGCUUAACCUGGGAACUGCUUUAAAAACUGCUGAGCUAGAGUACGGUAGAGGGUAGUGAAAUUUACUGUGUGGCGGUGAAAUGCGUGGAUAUAGGAAGGAAAACCAGUGGCGAAGGCGACUACCUGGACUGAUACUGACACUGAGGUGCGAAAGCCUGGGGAGCAAA
rnacentral:rRNA from 1 species